CAUAUCUUUAAAUCAUUGAUGGAUGUGUUCUAGAGUGUGACAGACGUAGAAAACAGAGGAGGGAUUCGCCCUGAAGCUGGUUUUGAUAAUACAAACACAUCUGGAGUUUCCGUUCAGUAUGUGGACAACCAAGAAGGGAUUUCUGAAGGCACAUUUGAGCAGGAUAAUAUAUUAAUCGAGCCUACUGUAGAGCUUUCAGUGCAGUGCAUGGAGAACCAGAGAGGCCUUCAUGGGCAAAUUUUGUAUGAUGAUGUGUCAUACCCCAUCCAUCUCCAACCUCAGACGGAGCCAGAUAUUGAUGAUGAAGGCAUUGUAGUUGACAUGGAAGAAGCUGAAGGACAGGAAUUGCACUGAUGUGUAUUUGAUGUGAAGAAAGGUUUAGCACCCCUAAGUUAUGAAAUUAACAUGGAAUGAGAUAAGAACAAGAUUGAAUCCUGGGACUGACUUUGAUUAUCCAUGUUAAAUAGUGUGGAAACUAAAUAUUUCACAGGCACUUUUUUUUAAGGUAAUGUGUUCAAACUUGAAAUGAAGGAAAGUAAGGAAGGACAAAUAUUACUGCCCACUAAAUUAUAGCUAUAAAUCAAGUUUAUGUAAUUAGAUUUUGUUUUAUAAAUAAAAUGCUUAUAAACAGUAUUUGUUUGAGUGUUGAACAAUGACAGAAGAGAAGACAUUACUUCUGUUGCCAAAAUUGUUUUC